GGCCUACGGGGGGCAGCAGUGGGGAAUAUUGCACAAUGGGGGAAACCCUGAUGCAGCAACGCCGCGUGAGUGAAGAAGUAUUUCGGUAUGUAAAGCUCUAUCAGCAGGGAAGAAGAUGACGGUACCUGAGUAAGAAGCCCCGGCUAACUACGUGCCAGCAGCCGCGGUAAUACGUAGGGGGCAAGCGUUAUCCGGAUUUACUGGGUGUAAAGGGAGCGUAGACGGCCAUGCAAGCCAGGGGUGAAAGCCCGGGGCCCAACCCCGAGACUGCCCUUGGAACUGCAUGGCUGGAGUGCGG
rnacentral:rRNA from 1 species